CCCUUAGAUGUUCGGGGCCGCACGCGCGCUACACUGAAGGACUCAGCGUGUCUCUCCCCCUAUCCCGAAAGGGAUGGGCAACCCGUUGAACCUCCUUCGUGCUAGGGAUUGGGGUUUGCAAUUAUCCCCCAUGAACGAGGAAUUCCCAGUAAGCGCGAGUCAUCAGCUCGCGUUGAUUACGUCCCUGCCCUUUGUACACACCGCCCGUCGCUACUACCGAUUGGAUGGUUUAGUGAGACCCUCGGAUCGGUCCCGACUCGGGGUGGGCUUCUGCCCCGGUCGUGGUUUCGCCGAGAAGACGGUCAAACUUGACUACCUAGAGGAAGUAAAAGUCGUAACA
rnacentral:rRNA from 1 species